rnacentral:rRNA from 1 species
UAGGGAAUCUUCCACAAUGGACGCAAGUCUGAUGGAGCAACGCCGCGUGAGUGAAGAAGGUUUUCGGACCGUAAAGCUCUGUUGUUGGUGAAGAAGGAUAGAGGUAGUAACUGGCCUUUAUUUGACGGUAAUCAACCAGAAAGUCACGGCUAACUACGUGCCAGCAGCCGCGGUAAUACGUAGGUGGCAAGCGUUGUCCGGAUUUAUUGGGCGUAAAGCGAGCGCAGGCGGAAGAAUAAGUCUGAUGUGAAAGCCCUCGGCUUAACCGAGGAAUUGCAUCGGAAACUGUUUUUCUUGAGUGCAGAAGAGGAGAGUAGAACUCCGUGUGUAGCGGUGGAAUGCGUAGAUAUAUGGAAGAAUACCAGUGGCGAAGGCGGCUCUCUGGUCUGCAACUGACGCUGAGGCUCGAAAGCAUGGGUAGCGAACAGGAUUAGAUACCCUGGUAGUCCAUGCCGUAAACGAUGAGUGCUAAGUGUUGGGAGGCUUCCGCCUGCUCAGUGCUGCAGCUAACGCAUUAAGCACUCCGCCUGGGGGAGUACGACCGCAAGGUUGAAAC